rnacentral:rRNA from 1 species
UGAUUACGUCCCUGCCCUUUGUACACACCGCCCGUCGCUACUACCGAUUGAAUGGCUCAGUGAGGCGUCCGGACUGGCCCAGAGAGGUGGGCAACUACCCCUCAGGGCCGGAAAGCUCUCCAAACUCGGUCAUUUAGAGGAAGUAAAAGUCGUAACAAGG